UCCCUGGUGGCUUAGAGAGUAAAGCAUCUGCCUGCAGUGUAGGAGACCUGGGUUCAAUUCCUGGGCAGGAAG
rfam:TPA: Bos taurus chromosome 22, whole genome shotgun sequence.